rnacentral:tRNA from 1 species
CGGGCUGUGGCGCAGCUUGGUAGCGCACUUGACUGGGGGUCAAGGGGUUCACCCCCUCCGGUCGGCCCGAACA